CCUACGGGUGGCAGCAGUCGAGAAUCAUUCACAAUGGGGGAAACCCUGAUGGUGCGACGCCGCGUGGGGGAAUGAAGGUCUUCGGAUUGUAAACCCCUGUCAUGUGGGAGCAAAUGAAAAUGAUAGUACAACAAGAGGAAGAGACGGCUAACUCUGUGCCAGCAGCAGAGGGAAUACAGCGGGCGCAAGCGUGGUUCGGAAUCACUGGGCGUAAAGCGUGCGUAGGCUGUUUCGUAAGUCGUGUGUGAAAGGCUCAGGCUCAACCCGCGGACGGCAUAUGAUACUGCGAGACUAGAGUAAGGGAGGGGGAAGUGGAAUUCUCGGUGUAGCAGUGAAAUGCGUAGAUAUCGAGAGGAACACUCGUGGCGAAGGCGGGUUCCUGGACAUUAACUGACGCUGAGGCACGAAGGCCAGGGGAGCGAAAGGGAUUAGAUACCCCGGUAGUC
rnacentral:rRNA from 1 species